CCCGCGGCUCACCGUGAUGAUCUCCAGCACCUCGCUCUUGCUGACCUCCCCGUUGCGGUCCACGUCGAACAAGGAGAAGGCCCACUCGAGCUUCAGCUCCUGAAGACGUGGCGGGCGUAGCCCUGAGGCUCCGAAUUGGGGAAGAAGUUGCCGUAAAUGCGCUCGAAUUCAUCGCGGCGGAUGCGGCCGUCGGGGCACUGCCGCUGGAAGCCUUCGUACCAACGGCUCAGCUCCUCCUCCGUGUAACGCGUGGAGGCGCGCAGCUCCUGGAGGACCUCGCGGGACAGAGCGCUGCUGCGGCUGUUCCCCAUCGUGUGAGACGGG
rnacentral:lncRNA from 1 species